GCCACCUUGGCAUAGUGGUUCGAGCGUUGGACUAUGACUCUGGAGACCAAGGUUUGAAUCCUGGCUCAGCCA